GUGCCAUCCAGAUGUUUUGGACUACAAUUCCCAUCAGCCCCAGCCAGCAUGACUGCCUGGGGCUGAUGGGAGUUGUGGUCCAAAGCAUCUGGAUGG